CCGCUAGAUUUAAAUAGCCAGACAACAGCCAUUGCGGUAGCACCUGUUUUUAGAGUAUUUACUUGAUAAAAGAAUUUUAAAAUUUUCUAAAAAGAAAUGGUUGAAUCGUGGUCAGUGGACGAGGUGCAGACGUUCCUCUCGUUGGUUGCCGAGGAGCGGAUCCAGCGAGAGCUGGAUGGGGCGACACGGAAUGAAAAAGUGUUCCAAGAAGUAGCACAGCUCUUAGCCGCACACGGUUACCACCGGACCUACAAACAGUGUAGGGACAAAUUAAAAAAACUAAAAAGUGACUACCGAGCCAUAAAGGAUCACAACGGCCGGAGUGGUGCAAACAGAAGAACGUGGAAGUGGUUCGACCAAAUGUAUCUACGGAAGUCGACCUGCGAGCAAUGUCUAUGAUUGACUCGUUAGCACUUUCUCCGUGCAGUGAUGCCUCAACGUCCCAACUGGUGAUAGCAGUGUCGCCACCAGCACGACCGUCGACACCAGCAACCUCCAGCAGGACACCAGAGCGUGUGGUACCAGGCAAGAGGAAACGGAACAUGCACCAUCAGGAGCAUCUUGCUGUUUUAAGAGAGAUGCAGGUGGCUGAUAUUCAACAGCAGGAACUGAACCGGGCACAGAGGGAGCUACAUUUGCAGAUGGCAAUAGAUGAGGCCCGGCAAGCAAGGGAGCAGGAAGCGGCCUUAAGGAGGGAGGAAAAUGUACAAACGGCUGCAUUCAAUCAAGCCUUUCUCAACGUCAUGGGGAUGCUUGUACAGGCGAUGAGUAACAGAACAGAACAGUGACAGAACUGACAAGAACAGAACUCUCUGCCCGACUAAAACCUCCCUAGUCCAUACUUCACGGAAACAGUUAAUUUUUUAACUUGUUUUUCCUGUGAAUGUUUUUCUACUACAUACGUUUGUGCACAACAUUUUAAGUUUGCUUGGUGUACAUUCUUUACUUUUAAAUUUGUCUUUAUAUAUGUCUUUAUAUUUUCUUUAUAUACAUUUUUUGCACUACAUACAUUAGUACUUUGUUUAACGUUUGAUCUGUUUACAUUUUUCUUAAAUAAAAUUUAC
ensembl:lncRNA